rnacentral:rRNA from 1 species
GAUGAACGCUAGCGGCAGGCCUAACACAUGCAAGUCGAGGGAGAGGUUACCUUCGGGUAACCAAAACCGGCGCACGGGUGCGUAACGCGUAUACAAUCUGCCUUUCACAUAGGGAUAGCCCGAAGAAAUUUGGAUUAAUACCUAAUGGUAUAUAAGAGCGGCAUCGUUUUUAUAUUAAAGCUACGGUGGUGAAAGAUGAGUAUGCGUUCUAUUAGCUAGUUGGAGAGGUAACGGCUCCCCAAGGCGACGAUAGAUAGGGGUUCUGAGAGGGAUGUCCCCCACACUGGUACUGAGAUACGGACCAGACUCCUACGGGAGGCAGCAGUGAGGAAUAUUGGACAAUGGUCGGAAGACUGAUCCAGCCAUGCCGCGUGCAGGAUGAAGGUCCUAUGGAUUGUAAACUGCUUUUGUAAGGGAAGAAUAAGGAGUACGUGUACUUUGAUGACGGUACCUUACGAAUAAGCAGCGGCUAACUCCGUG